GCCUGGGUGGCUCAGUUGGUUGAGCAUCUGACUUGAGCUCAGUCAUGAUCUCAUGUUUCCUGAGUUCGAGCCCCACAUCAGGCU
rnacentral:tRNA from 1 species